UCUCCGGGUCUGAGUUUGGUGGCUCUGGCCCCGGACCUCGUUCUCUCACUGUGACUCCCCUCCUUUCUCCGUGGCCGUUUUUGUCUCUGCAGUUCGAAACCUCGCGCACACUCUGUCUCCCUCCUUGCCCGCACACAUACUCUGUGUCUGUCUCUCCCGCCACGUCUCCCGCCUUCUCUCUGGGUCCCUGUGACUGGCUUUUUGGUUUUUUCUGUUGUCCAUCCCAAAAUCAAGAGAAACUUCCAGCCACUGCUGCCCACCCUCCUGCAGGGGAUGCUCUGCCCCAGACCUGCCCGCAUGGUUCCGUCCAUCACUCAUGGCCUCCUCCUGGCUCCACUGGCCUCCCGCAGAGAGAGGGAGCCAGCCUGCCUCCCAGGGCCAGAGCUCCAGCCUCCCACGUGGCCACCUCCCUGGAGUUCUGCCCAGCUGUCAGCCUGCCCUGGGCAUCCCUGCUCUGGGCAUGUCUUGUGUGCUUCCCAAGCCCCAGGGAGAGUGGGGGAAGGACGGCGGAGGCAGCUGGGGCAAGGGAAAGAGGGAGGAAGGGGAGGGGCCUCCAUGUCUAAUUUCAUAAUAAACAAACACUUUAUUUUGUAAA